AGCAGUCGCCGCGGGAAUACGUAGGGUGCAAGCGUUAAUCGGAAUUACUGGGCGUAAAGCGUGCGCAGGCGGUUUGUUAAGACAGAUGUGAAAUCCCCGGGCUCAACCUGGGAACUGCAUUUGUGACUGGCAAGCUAGAGUGUGGCAGAGGGGGGUGGAAUUCCGCGUGUAGCAGUGAAAUGCGUAGAUGUGCGGAGGAACACCGAUGGCGAAGGCAGCCCCCUGGGCCAACACUGACGCUCAUGCACGAAAGCGUGGGGAGCAAACAGGAUUAGAUACCCCUGUAGUCCCUGUCUCUUAUAC
rnacentral:rRNA from 1 species